rnacentral:misc_RNA from 1 species
GAUGAAGAACGUAGUAAAAUGCGAUAAGUAAUGUGAAUUGCAGAAUUCAGUGAAUCAUCGAAUCUUUGAACGCACAUUGCGCCCGCCAGUAUUCUGGCGGGCAUGCCUGUUCGAGCGCCAUUUCAACCCUCAAGCACAGCUUGGUGUUGGGACUCGCGUUAAUUCGCGUUCCUCAAAUUGAUUGGCGGUCACGUCGAGCUUCCAUAGCGUAGUAGUAAAACCCUCGUUACUGGUAAUCGUCGCGGCCACGCCGUUAAACCCCAACUUCUGAAUGUUGACCUCGGAUCAGGUAGGAAUACCCGCUGAACUUAAGCAUAUCAAUAAGCGGAGGA